rfam:Marine metagenome 1096626821814, whole genome shotgun sequence.
CCUAUGCUUCCCGCAGCGGUCCCCUCUUUGGGGCCCUAGCUCCAGUGAGAGUCAGGGUUCAUUGCUCUGAACGCCACUGGCGCCCGGCCACGGUGAAGCUUGCUGAUCCGCGCCCGGGGCCCCGGUAAUCCCAUGGAUUUCCGGAGGGGUGUCCCACCACCUCGAUCCCGUCCCUCGAGGAACGACUCGAUGA